GACGAACGCUGGCGGCGUGCUUAACACAUGCAAGUCGAACGGAAAGGCCCUGCUUUUGUGGGGUGCUCGAGUGGCGAACGGGUGAGUAACACGUGAGUAACCUGCCCUUGACUUUGGGAUAACUUCAGGAAACUGGGGCUAAUACCGGAUAGGAGCUCCUGCUGCAUGGUGGGGGUUGGAAAGUUUCGGCGGUUGGGGAUGGACUCGCGGCUUAUCAGCUUGUUGGUGGGGUAGUGGCCUACCAAGGCUUUGACGGGUAGCCGGCCUGAGAGGGUGACCGGCCACAAUGGGACUGAGAUACGCCCCAGACUCCUACGGGAGGCAGCAGUGGGGAAUAUUGCACAAUGGGCGGAAGCCUGAUGCAGCAACGCCGCGUGCGGGACGACGGCCUUCGGGUUGUAAACCGCUUUCGCCUGUAACGAAGCGUGAGUGACGGUAAUGGGUAAAGAAGCACCGGCUAACUACGUG
rnacentral:rRNA from 1 species